CUAACAUAUGUGCGUUCAGCCGAAAGGUGUACUCGUACGGUUGCAGGCUAGAGUCUGUUCUUGGGGUCGGAUAAGGGUCUUGGGAAUGUGGCCGGUUCGCCGGUGUUAAGCCCUGGACUUGAUACGGCUCUGGGGACAGAGGACCGCAGCGCGCCUUCUUGGCAUUGGCUUCGGCCUUUUCCGCGCUAAGGAUUCUGGCUUAAUGGCUUUAAGCGACCCGUCUUGAAACACGGACCAAGGAGUCUAACAUAUGUGCGAGUGUUU
rnacentral:rRNA from 1 species